AACGAACGCUGGCGGCAUGCCUAACACAUGCAAGUCGAACGAGACCUUCGGGUCUAGUGGCGCACGGGUGCGUAACGCGUGGGAACCUGCCCUUAGGUUCGGAAUAACUCCCCGAAAGGGGUGCUAAUACCGGAUAAUGUCUUCGGACCCAAGAUUUAUCGCCUUUGGAUGGGCCCGCGUUGGUUUAGCUAGUUGGUAGGGUAAAAGCCUACCAAGGCGACGAUCCAUAGCUGGUCUGAGAGGAUGAUCAGCCACACUGGGACUGAGACACGGCCCAGAAUCCUACGGGAGGCAGCAGUGGGGAAUAUUGGACAAUGGGCGAAGGCCUGAUCCAGCAAGGCCGCGUGAGUGAUGAAGUCCUUAGGGUUGUAAAGCACCUUUACCCGGGAUGAUAAUGACAGUACCGGGAGAAUAAGCUCCGGCUAACUCCGUG
rnacentral:rRNA from 1 species